rnacentral:rRNA from 1 species
UACAGAGGUCCCAAGCGUUGUUCGGAUUUACUGGGCGUAAAGGGUGCGUAGGUGGUGAGGUAAGUCUGAUGUGAAAUCUCCGAGCUCAACUCGGAAAUGGCAUUGGAAACUACCUUGCUAGAGGGUUGGAGGGGGGACUGGAAUACUUGGUGUAGCAGUGAAAUGCGUAGAUAUCAAGUGGAACACCAGUGGCGAAGGCGGCUCACUGGCCCGGUACUGACGCUGAGGCACGAAAGCGUGGGGAGCAAACAGG